AACACCAGAAAUGGGGGCACUUGUUCAUAACUUGUUUGAUUCAGUUUCUUAUGAGUUUAGUCCAGGACUGUUGAAAAUUGUAUAAAUACGCACGACAUCUGUAGCUAGCAUCAUUCAGGAUUCGUUUGUCCAGAAAGUAUUCACCAAAACCAAAAUGAAAUUCAUCCUCUUGGCUCUCGCCUUCAUCGGUGCCGCUUCCGCGGUCCUUGUAACCCCAUAUGCUAACUGGGGUUAUUCUGGCUGGGGACAUGGAAUCGCUCCAGCGGUCUCUGCCUACCAUGCUCCAGUCGUUAGCGCCUACAGUGCUCCAGUUUAUGGUCAGGGUUACCUUGGAUAUGCUGCUCCCGGAUGGGGAUAUGAUAUUUGGAAGAAGAAAGCUGCUUAAACUGGAUUUCUGAUUAACCGGAAUGUAACAUACAAAACUUAUUAUAUACAUAUAUACUUUUAUUUAAAAUAUACAAUUGGAUCACUAUUGAAAUAAAA